rnacentral:rRNA from 1 species
AGAGUUUGAUCCUGGCUCAGGAUGAACGCUAGCGGCAGGCCUAAUACAUGCAAGCCGAACGGCAAGAUUGGUAGCAAUACUAGUCCUAGAGUGGCGUAAGGGUGCGUAACACGUAUGCAAUCUACCCGCAACAAGAGGAUAGCUCCCCGAAAGGGGAAUUAACCCUCUAUAAGAUCACACGAGGGCAUCUGAGAGUGAUUAAACUACAAGGGGUUGUGGAUGAGCAUGCGUCUGAUUAGCUAGUUGGCAGUGUAACGGACUACCAAGGCGAUGAUCAGUAGGGGAACUGAGAGGUUGAUCCCCCACACUGGCACUGAGAUACGGGCCAGACUCCUACGGGAGGCAGCAGUAGGGAAUAUUGGUCAAUGGGUGAGAGCCUGAACCAGCCAUGCCGCGUGCAGGAAGAAGGCCUUCUGGGUUGUAAACUGCUUUUGCCGGGGGAUAAAAGACCCUUGCGAGGGAAAUUGAAGGUACCUGGUGAAUAAGCCACGGCUAACUACGUGCCAGCAGCCGCGGUAAUACGUAGGUGGCAAGCGUUGUCCGGAUUUAUUGGGUUUAAAGGGUGCGUAGGCGGUUGAUUAAGUCAGUUGUGAAAUACGGUAGCUCAACUAUCGAGGUGCAAUUGAUACUGGUUGACUUGAGUACAGACGAGGUAGGCGGAAUUGACGGUGUAGCGGUGAAAUGCAUAGAUAUCGUCAAGAACACCGAUAGCGAAGGCAGCUUACUAGACUGUAACUGACGCUGAGGCACGAAAGUGUGGGGAUCAAACAGGAUUAGAUACCCUAGUAGUCC